GUGUUGUAUGAAAGGAGAGAAGGUUAGCACCCUCCUUGACAAAGAUGGCAGAGGCCCUCAGGCCUGACAAAUAAGCAUACAGUUCAGGCACUGUCACUUUCUUAGAAGCAUCUAAACACCAUGUGAGC
ensembl:snRNA